rnacentral:rRNA from 1 species
UCUUCCGCAAUGGACGAAAGUCUGACGGAGCAACGCCGCGUGAGUGAUGAAGGUUUUCGGAUCGUAAAGCUCUGUUGCCAGGGAAGAACGCUUGUGAGAGUAACUGCUCACAAGGUGACGGUACCUGAGAAGAAAGCCCCGGCUAACUACGUGCCAGCAGCCGCGGUAAUACGUAGGGGGCAAGCGUUGUCCGGAAUUAUUGGGCGUAAAGCGCGCGCAGGCGGUCAAUUAAGUCUGGUGUUUAAGGCUGUGGCUCAACCACAGUUCGCACUGGAAACUGGUUGACUUGAGUACAGAAGAGGAAAGUGGAAUUCCACGUGUAGCGGUGAAAUGCGUAGAGAUGUGGAGGAACACCAGUGGCGAAGGCGACUUUCUGGGCUGUAACUGACGCUGAGGCGCGAAAGCGUGGGGAGCAAACAGG